AACGAACGCUGGCGGCAGGCUUAACACAUGCAAGUCGAGCGCCCCGCAAGGGGAGCGGCAGACGGGUGAGUAACGCGUGGGAAUCUACCCAUCUCUACGGAAUAACGCAUGGAAACGUGUGCUAAUACCGUAUACGUCCUUCGGGAGAAAGAUUUAUCGGAGAUGGAUGAGCCCGCGUUGGAUUAGCUAGUUGGUGGGGUAAGGGCCUACCAAGGCGACGAUCCAUAGCUGGUCUGAGAGGAUGAUCAGCCACACUGGGACUGAGACACGGCCCAGACUCCUACGGGAGGCAGCAGUGGGGAAUAUUGGACAAUGGGCGCAAGCCUGAUCCAGCCAUGCCGCGUGAGUGAUGAAGGCCCUAGGGUUGUAAAGCUCUUUCACCGGUGAAGAUAAUGACGGCAACCGGAGAAGAAGCCCCGGCUAACUUCGUGCCAGCCGCCGCCGUAAGAC
rnacentral:rRNA from 1 species